rnacentral:rRNA from 1 species
GAUGAACGCUGGCGGCGUGCCUAAUACAUGCAAGUCGAGCGAACAGACGAGGAGCUUGCUCCUCUGACGUUAGCGGCGGACGGGUGAGUAACACGUGGAUAACCUACCUAUAAGACUGGGAUAACUUCGGGAAACCGGAGCUAAUACCGGAUAAUAUAUUGAACCGCAUGGUUCAAUAGUGAAAGACGGUUUUGCUGUCACUUAUAGAUGGAUCCGCGCCGCAUUAGCUAGUUGGUAAGGUAACGGCUUACCAAGGCAACGAUGCGUAGCCGACCUGAGAGGGUGAUCGGCCACACUGGAACUGAGACACGGUCCAGACUCCUACGGGAGGCAGCAGUAGGGAAUCUUCCGCAAUGGGCGAAAGCCUGACGGAGCAACGCCGCGUGAGUGAUGAAGGUCUUCGGAUCGUAAAACUCUGUUAUUAGGGAAGAACAAAUGUGUAAGUAACUAUGCACGUCUUAACGGUACCUAAUCAGAAAGCCACGGCUAACUACGUG